rnacentral:rRNA from 1 species
CCUACGGGAGGCAGCAGUGGGGAAUAUUGGACAAUGGGGGGAACCCUGAUCCAGCCAUGCCGCGUGUGUGAAGAAGGCCCUCGGGUUGUAAAGCACUUUCAGUGAGGAAGAACGCCUGGUGGUUAAUACCCAUCAGGAAAGACAUCACUCACAGAACAAGCACCGGCUAACUCCGUGCCAGCAGCCGCGGUAAUACGGAGGGUGCGAGCGUUAAUCGGAAUUACUGGGCGUAAAGCGCGCGUAGGUGGCUUGAUAAGCCGGUUGUGAAAGCCCCGGGCUCAACCUGGGAACGGCAUCCGGAACUGUCAAGCUAGAGUGCAGGAGAGGAAGGUAGAAUUCCCGGUGUAGCGGUGAAAUGCGUAGAGAUCGGGAGGAAUACCAGUGGCGAAGGCGGCCUUCUGGACUGACACUGACACUGAGGUGCGAAAGCGUGGGUAGCAAACAGGAUUAGAUACCCUAGUAGUC